rnacentral:misc_RNA from 1 species
GAUGAAGAACGCAGCGAAAUGCGAUAAGUAAUGUGAAUUGCAGAAUUCAGUGAAUCAUCGAAUCUUUGAACGCACAUUGCGCCCUUUGGUAUUCCAAAGGGCAUGCCUGUUCGAGCGUCAUUUGUACCCUCAAGCUUUGCUUGGUGUUGGGCGUCUUGUCUCUAGCUUUGCUGGAGACUCGCCUUAAAGUAAUUGGCAGCCGGCCUACUGGUUUCGGAGCGCAGCACAAGUCGCACUCUCUAUCAGCAAAGGUCUAGCAUCCAUUAAGCCUUUUUUUUCAACUUUUGACCUCGGAUCAGGUAGGGAUACCCGCUGAACUUAAGCAUAUCAUAAGCGGAGGA